CAGAUUUGGAUUUUCUAUUUCAUAGUUAUUGAAAUCAUAAUGAGAAUGAAGUACUGCCACUAAGGUAAAGGUGCUAACUUGCAAGGAGCUGUUCUCAAAACAUUGGGUGACAAAGAAUUCACUUUUACAAAAAUCGAGCAGGAUAUUAAAGACAGCGAACUAUAGAACAAAUAUGGCGAAGCUGCAUGAAGUCUAUGUUGAAUUUUAUUAUU